UACGUAGGGGGCCAGCGUUGCUCGGAAUUACUGGGCGUAAAGGGUUCGUAGGUGGUGCGGCAAGUUGGAAGUGAAAUCUCUGGGCUUACCCCAGAGGCUGCUUUCAAAACUGCCGUGCUCGAGUGCGGGAGAGGCCAGUGGAAUUGCAGGUGUAGCGGUGAAAUGCGUAGAUAUGUGGAAGAACAUCGGUGGCGAAGGCGGUUUUCUAGCUUAUUCCUGACGCUGAGGCGCGAAAGCAAGGGGAGCAAACAGG
rnacentral:rRNA from 1 species